UUUUUUUUUUUUUUUUUUUGUAGCAUCAUCUAUCUGGAUAAGAUGUUGAGACCACAGCCUAACACCAACUUCACCUAAUUUGAACCUCAACCUGAUAUUCUCUUUGCAUAACUUGUGAAGCAACAUAACCUAGAGAACUGAUUCUCAGAUUGAUUUGUUUUGUUAGUGAAUAAGCAUGGAAAUGAUAAAUUCAUUUAUAAACCUGAUCUGAAUACACAUCAUAGAAAAAAUUAGAUAAGAUGGAAAUUGCAAUUUUAUAAUGCAUGCAUGAUAUUAGAUGUUUCUCUUGAUAUCAGUAUUAAAUAACCAAGCUUAGGAUAUGUAUAGUCAGACCGCAUUGCAAUAUAUAAUGCUCAGUUAUUAAGUCUCUCAUGAAAAUUAUAGAUCUAAUCACAUAGCAACUUUAGAAAUUAGCUCCUCAGCUCUGAAUCAUAAAUGCAUUUCAAUAAUUUUUUUCUCCUCCAGUUUUUUAGACUUUCUCCACUGGAUUAAUAGCUUCCAAUGAGUAAAAUAUUCCCCUCCCUCCAUUUAUGCAGUCGACGGGUACAGGCUGGGUAUAACCACCACUUCUUGCAUUCUAAAUUUCUAAUAUGCUGGCAACAAAAAAAAAAAAGUACAGUAAUUUUCAAAGCUUAUUUGCAACUAAGAUUUAUUUUGUUGAUCUCAUAAAUGUGUUUAUAGAACCGUUAAUAAUUAUAACUAAAGCAGAAUUUUUCUACUCUUUUUACAUCCUUUAGUUAUUUCAACACAAAAAAUUCAGUCUGAAACAUCAAGGAAAUAACUGAAUACACCAUAGAUGCACGUGAAUCCAAGCAAACAUGCCAAUGAGGGAAUGGAAAUACAUCACAUUCAUGGAAAAUAAGCAGAAAUUCUGUCUCUUCAGAUCAUCUAACAUACCAUCACUUGCAGCUCCAAAAUCA
rnacentral:misc_RNA from 1 species